rnacentral:rRNA from 1 species
AACGUAGGGGGCGAGCGUUAUCCGGAAUUACUGGGCGUAAAGCGCGUGCAGGCGGCUUGGUAGGUUGGACGUGAAAGCUCCUGGCUUAACUGGGAGAGGCCGUUCAAAACCGCCAGGCUUGAGGACGGAAGAGGGGAGUGGAAUUCCCGGUGUAGUGGUGGAAUGCGUAGAUAUCGGGAGGAACACCUGUGGCGAAAGCGGCUCCCUAGUCCGUAUCUGACGCUCAGACGCGAAAGCGUGGGGAGCGAACGGGAUUAGAUACCCCCGUAGUCC